rnacentral:rRNA from 1 species
CGAGUGGAGGGGAUAACUACUGGAAACGGUAGCUAGUACCGCAUAACGUCGCAAGACCAAAGAGGGGACCUUCGGGCCUCUUGCCAUCGGAUGUGCCCAGAUGGGAUUAGCUAGUAGGUGGGGUAACGGCUCACCUAGGCGACGAUCCCUAGCUGGUCUGAGAGGAUGACCAGCCACACUGGAACUGAGACACGGUCCAG